rnacentral:lncRNA from 1 species
AUGGUGAAGAUGGAUGGAUUGGAUGUUUGCGUGGAUAGAUUCCACCAUAAUGCCAUGGCUGUACCAUACACUGGAGGAGCAGGUCAUCAGGAAAGGUGUCGCCGCAAGCAUCCAGCAACAAUAAACAUCUCCACGGCAGGGUACGAGCCUCGAGGAGGGAACAGAGCUGUGACUUUCAUGUCUGUCCAGGCCAGCAAAGGGAGAGGGAGGCUGAAAGGGGCUGGGGCCUUGGCUGGCCCCUUCUGCUGCCUGGCUCCUGGAAGUCCCCAGCCUGUCACUAAGCACUGUCUUCAGCACUUGUCUAUUUUCAUAACAUGCUUUAAAGUCAUUUUCAGAAGGCUUUACUUUUCAGCCAGGACCCCCUGCAGUAUUGGCAAGAUAUCAUGUUAGUUUUCCAACUAAGGAAAUCAAACUUUUGCUGGGAAAAGAACCCUGGAUUUGAAGCAUGUGAAUUCUGGUUCAACCUUGCUCCUGUUACCUAUUGCCUGGAUGACCUUGGACAAGUCACUUCUUUGGGCCACAGUUCCCUCAUCUGGAAACUGAGAGGUCUGGAUUAGAUGAACUCUGGCUCCAGAUCUAUGAUGUGAUCUAAAUGAACAGUUCAAGGCUUCGGACCAGUUAGUGGAAAGAUGAGGAUUAGAAUUCACAGCAAGUGACCACCCUCCCAAUUCAUUUCAACCCAACAAACACUCACUGAGUACCUAUUACGGAGAGGCAAUGAUGCUCAGGAAGGCACGGAGCACCCUCUCCACCAGGCAGAUGCUUGUUUUAGACUUGCCACUUUAUCCACACAGAGAGGUUUUAGUUGGAACUGUCUCAGCACUGGCUUCCAGGACCCCCUGUGGGUGUUACUAGCAUUUGGAAGUGGCUGCAGGAAAUGUCAGAGUUUAGGUUAAUGGGAUAGCCUGGUGAUUUCAAAAUAUUCCCACUCACCACUUCUAACUCCCUAAGUGAAAAUGUGUUUAGGUACUUUCUGGCUAGUGAGUAGGGGAAGUAAGUCAAGGGCAUGAGAGGAAGACCACCCCAUGGAUGCUUUUGAGAGCUUCAUAACUGGUCUUCUAUUCUUACCUUCUCUUUACUCCAAUCUAUCCCUGCUCUCUGCUCUGAUCUAUCAAAGGAGAUGAGAUUUUUUUCCCCAAAAUUUUAUUUAUUUAUUUUUAGUUUUCAACAUUCACUUCCACAAGAUUUUGGGUUCCAAGUUUUCUCCCCAAGGAGAUGAGAUUUGAUAGAGAUAAAUGUAAAAGGUUACACUUGGAUAUAAAAUAAAGUCAUUAUCACAAGGAUAAUUGGGAGCA